AAAAAUUGUUCCAAAUACCCUGUCAACUGUCCAGCUCAGAAGAAUUAAUUCCCUCUACAGCAGCAGUGACUGUUUUAAGAGCUGUCCAUACAGGGGCAUUCAGGAACACCACAAAGUGUUCCCUUCAAUACUUUAAACCUAAAGAACAGGCUAUCCAGCACAGCCUCAACUUCUGACCUGAACAGAGAAGCAUAGAAUAUGAACUUAAUUUCAAAUCAGCAUUGUGUGUGAAAAUUAACAAGUUACUUUUAGCAAUUAAUGUCUAUAGAGUUCUUAAUUUUGAUUUGUGUACGUACACGAUUUAAAUUCCUAGAUUUGAAUUACAUCUGAAAAUUCCUUCCAAAUACUGCUUGCUCACUCAGAAGUCAAUCCUGGAUAUUGUAUUACUGAACAGACCUGGACAGAAUUUUACUCAUCUGGAACCCUUUCUAACCUUUUUUGAAUUUUCAUGUCAAAAAGAUAAUUGAAACAUAACAUUUGAACAGAACCCUGUUUCCUUUCAGUUGCUCUUUCCAGUUCAUGUCCCAAAUGGGACAGCAGUUUGUAAAGAACUUCUCUCAUGCACAUCCUUUUCUUUGACUAUACAUGUUAGGCAUAAUGCCAAUUAUAAAGAUGCAUGCAUUCUCAAGAGAGGACAUAAGUUACAUAAAUUGACUUGUAUGUAUAAAAAGGAAGAGAUGGAUUAUAAAGCUCACAAAAAUGUAUCUUUACCUCAAAAUCAAUUAUCUGACUACUUUACCACAGAAAUUUGCUGGAACAGCCAGCUGCCACAGCAUUAUUUAUUUUUAUUGGGGUAACUAAUGAUUAGACAUAUAUAUAUGUAAGUCCCACUGCUUGACAAAGUUUGAGAAAUACAGACAAUAAAGGAACAUGGCGUGCAACAGAAACUUAAAAGUUGGCAAUUAAAAUUAGAAUGCUUUCACCCACUUUGUAUUAACGGAAGUACCUCCCUUCUAACGUCUGUACUAUAAUGAAUCUCAGCCAUUUAUAGGUGAAUGCAGACCCAAAACACAAGAAUGAUAAGUGUUUAACAAGCUCUGUCCUAACUGCUACAUACAGAUUAAGAAAAAUUAACACCACUCAGAUUUUCUCAUUUACUUGUUUGGGUUUGAGAACCCAUGAUAUAACCAACAACUUUAUAUGAAGGUUUACAAAUUAGUGCUCCCUCUGCUGGGAAUGGAACAAAUUGAUUGUAAGAGAAAUUUUAACCCCCUUGGUCCCUUCGCACUUUGUGACAGAAACUGAUUUGAAAAGAAAGCUAUAGAUGCACACACUACAUUUUAGAAUCCAAAGAACAAACACCACCAAAUUGUUUUAAAUGCUACAAGCCAUUUCAGCUUAAAUUUCUUUAAUUACUUUUUUUACUUUAAAAGGGAUGCUCUUUAUUACACCUAAAAUUUCUUACAACUUACUUUUGCAACAACUAAGAUUCCUAUAACUAGAAGAUUAGAAGUUUGUUUGCACUCUUUGUGCACUUGACUGCAUGUUGCAUAUAGCUGCUUUCACAAUUUCCCCUAUAUGAAAGGAAGUUGGUGAAUUCAUAUCCCCAAUCUGUGUGGCUCUUUUACUUUACAACAGGACACAGAAAUAACAUCUUUUAAAAUAAACAGUAAAAUGUAAUUGUAAAACCACAGGAACUGGCAGGUGGUGCAUGGAGAGAAGCAGUACUUGAAACUACAUUGUCUUUUUUUUUUUAAAUGAUUAAGUUUUAAGUUGUUGGAGUCCUUUUAUUACAAAUUAGCUAUAACAAUCUACUAUAGAAUUCUUGCUUGUAUUUUCUUUUUAGCAGAAAGAAAACUGUUAAUGGUGACUUAAUUACAGUGAAAUGUUAAAAAAAAUUGUACAGUAGUAGUUUAGCCCCAAAAUUAAUAUAUUAAAGCUAUAAACUGGUCAUUUCUUUGAGAAUAUUUCUGUUCAUGUUAGUAUGCUAGCUAAGGUUAAAAUAUCUGGAUCUAUUACCAGACCUGAACUCCACAAGGUUAACUGCACCAGUGUCUAAACUAUCUUUAGUGGUCAAGUCUUAAAUGAAAAAUAAAAUCCUACAGAGAACUUGCCCUUUACCCCUUUUUAGUCUGUACCUCAGUCAGAUACAUUUUAAGGUUUUAUUUUGAUUAUAAUCUUUUAUUGCUACAAACUGAACUUUCCAGACAUGGUUGUUUUCUAACAGCUUUCAAAAGCUGUGCUGUUUUAGUAGACAGGUGCAGCUAACUAUCUUUGUACAACAGAGAAUUCAAGUUUUAGUAAGGUUUUGAAACACCAAUAUUUGCAAGCAGUUUAGAGUUUCUCCAACAUGCUUCAGAAUAAAUACAUUCUUUUUUAUACUGCUUCCAGCUUAUUAUAUAGUGAGAUGAAACACAAGACACUAGGCUUUGAUCUUAGCUCCAGGGAGCAGAGAUGAAGUAGGCCUUUUUUGUAACAAAAUAAAAAACCCCGAAACUAUCAGAAUACAGCCAGUGCUUUCUGAAGGGUCUGCUGACAUUUAUAUUCAGAUCCUCAUAUGCAGACACUGCACAUGGCUUAUGGAACAUAUAAUAAACUGCAAUGUACAGAAUUACUGACUAAAACGAUUGAAACCAAAAUAAAAAGAAAAUACAAAAGAAACAAAAAUCACUUAACACUUUUAUAAGCCUGGCUCUGUUAUGAUAUAAAGAGCUAUCUGGUACUUUAUAUAUAAAUAUUUUUAAAUUUGCCUAUAAUACUGGUGUUGAUAUUACAUCCACAAAAAUUAUGAAAAACUUCUAAAAAUUCUACCCCUUCCUGGAGGGUAAUAACAUGUCUGUAUAAUCAAUCAGCUUUAUCACCUAGAACAGAUAUUUUAGUACUACAGAAGUCAGCCUACAAUCUAUUACCAAAAUUUAAACAUUUUAAAUAUGUACAGCUUCACAGCUAUAAAACUUUUGCAAAGUAUUAUAAAAUAGGUAUCCCACCUUCUCUCUAUAAAAUACUGGAUAAGAACUAUUUUAGUUCAACUACCAGUUUACCCCAGCAGAAAAGGCACUUAAUAGGGCAGGCAUAUUUAUAGACUAUUUAUUGCACUGCUUUCAAUAACUAAGGACUCCAGAAUACUUUCAAAAAGGGGUGGGGGAUUGGUUGUCUUUCCCUAAACAACACACACAAAAAGGAAAGAAAGCUAUUUAAUUCAACAGAUUAUUAAAUCAAUUAAGGGAACAUCCCCCUAAAUAAACUAACAGAGAUAAGCAACUGCUACUUUACAACCCCGCAGCUCCAGCAAUUGGGUUUAAGAGCAGCAGAAUAUUGAAGAGGGGACUCUAGCUAACAGCUAAGCAGAAAAAGCGGGGACUGAGUGACAAAGAGAUCGUGUCUGUCUCUCUUUCAGUCUCUGCCUCUGGUGCAUGCACCUCCCAGCAGCUCUCUCCCUAUUUAAAGGCUGAUGUGGUGUUUAAAUGGAGAGGCGGUGACGUGGGGCUGGAAAGCACCUUCCCAUCCUGGCAGAGUCUAUAUUAGAGAGCGGCAAUGGCUCUAUAUAAACAGGGCAGCCACAGGGAGGAGGAACACAAGGAGCAGGGAGACAGAAAGGCAGGGGAAGCCAUGAUGGAUCUCACAGACACACAAACAAGGGGCCCAAGCCUGCACCGUAACCGCCCGGACUCGGGGUUUGUCGGCAGCUUUUUGGGGCUGCUGCCAUUGUGGCCUGGGGGGGUCUCUCCCUCCACACCCAUGGAACAUCUGAGCCAGAUAAGGAGGAGAAAAGAGGACUCAGGAUGACAUGUUGCAGGAGAUUCUGCCAGUGUUGCAUCAGAGAGUGACACCAGGGCCUGGAGGAUGACCCUUACAGACAACAUGCAGAAAGCAAAAGUGGAGAGAAAAAUUGCCCUGGAGUUCAAGCAGGAAAGGAGAGGGAGAUGCACUAGUACAUAAUGGGGCUUCUCAGGCAGCAAACAGAGAUGCUGUGGACUCUGGUAGACCUGUGCGCAAGAGUCUUGUGCUGGCCUCCCUCUGCAGCCUAUAGACAACUCAAUGUCUGGACCUCCCUACACCUCCCCUCAACAUUCCAUGUGGCAUCAAGGACCACUGCACUACCCCCACCACUCCACCGUGGGGAACAUUAAACACAAUCACAACUGCACAUACAUUGACCUGUGAAAGACGUGGUUGGUAUAUGUGUACCUGAAAUGGAAAUGAUUGUUCUUUUCCCUUCAUAAUUUCUGUUCCCUUAAUUUAUUAUGGUUUAUAAAGUGCUAAAUGGUGGUUUUAUUUUCCUGGCUCAUGUUACAGAAUACAAUUCUAUUUUUUGGAAUAUAAUUGAGCUUUGUUAGUUCACAACAUAUGCUGACUAGUGCUAAGCAGGGCUGACAUCCACCAAUUUCCUGUUAGUUUAUUUUGUCACAGAACCCAUAACAUCAAUCUCAGACAGUAUUAACAGGUGCAUUGUCAAUGUUAUAUUCCUACAUGUAGCACUCAUUGCAAGAUUCAUACUACGCUGCAAAAGAGCAAGGCUGGGUAGAGCACACUACAGCAACACACAUACUCUGGCUCACUAUUAAAAUGUUCUUUCAAAGCCUUCCUGAGCUAUACAGCUCCACAUUGAGCUCUUCUAAUAAGUCUUUUGUCUGGCUGUUGAAAUUCAGCAGACAGCCGCUUCACCUCCGCCCUCCAUUCCAACAAAACUUUCCCCCCUUGGCUUCACAGAACACAGCAGGCAGAUAUAACCAUUGGGAUAUUUUUCUGACUGAUGUCAAAUCUUGUGAGUAAACAAUGCCAGCGACCUUUCAAAUGACCAAAAGCACAUUCGACUGUCAUGCUGCACCUGCUGAGCUGGUAGUUGAAUUGUUCCUUGGUGCUGUUGAGGUGGCCAGUGUACAUCUUUAUGAGCCAUGGGAACCCAGGGUAUGCUGGGGCAAAAGAAAGUCCCUGCUUGCAGCUUUCUGAACAGUCCUGGGUUCUUAAAGAUGUGCACAUCAUGCACCUCCCCUGACCAGUCCACACUGAUGUCAGUAAUGAAUUCAUGGUGAUCCACCAGCACUUGUAUUACCAUGAAAAAGUAGCCCUUUCUGUUGAUGUACUCUGGCAAGGAGGUCUGGUGCUAAAAUAGGGAUAUGUGUACCAUCUAGCACCUAGUUUGGGACCCCAAUUGCUGAAAAACCAUCCACUAUGCCCUGCACUUUGCUCAGAGUCACAGUCCUGCAUAGCAGCAGUCGAUUAAUGGCCCUGCACACUUCCAUGACAACCAUCCCGGUGGUGGAUUUCCUGACUCCAAAUUGGUUCUCGACUGACAAGUAACAAUCCAAGUUUCCACAGUGCAAUCGCCACUUGCUUUUCAGCUGGCAGUGUGGCUCUCAUUUUGGUGACCCUAUGCUGGAGGGUUGAGGCAAGUUUGGCAUGCAGUUCCAGGAAUAUGACCUUGUGCAUUCAAAAGUUCUGCAGCCACUGCUUGUCAUCCCAAACCUGAAUUACAUUGUGAUCUCACCAGUCGGUGCUUGUCUCUUGGGCCCAGAACUGGCACGCCACUGUCUGCAGCUGCUCCGUGAAUGCUGCCAACAACAUGGAAUUGUUUCUUUCUAUGGCCCACAGAAGUCUAGCCUCCAAGAAAAUGUUAUGUCCCCCCUCUUGCUGCAGCUCUGCAAUACUGCAGGAACAGACCCCUGAGCUUGAAAUGCUCAUGACAAUAGUACAGAGCUGUGCAGGCUCCAUGCUUCUGUCAGAGAGGGUAGACAGCAAGGAAGGACAUGCAGGUUUAUGGGGAUUUUGAAAAGAGCCAUCAAAUAUUAUGCGGUGCAGAUGAAAUUAUGGGAUGGAGAACACUGCAUUGUGGGAAGUGGAACCCAUGCUCCCAGUCACCCCUGUAUGACUCAUUUGAGCCGCAGAAGGCAUUGUGUAAACUUCCCACAACACCCUGUGCUGGAUGGUGGUGAGUUGCACAGAGGGAUACUUACCCAUGGUGCACUGCAUUCUGCAUCGAUACAAGCGCUCCUGCUGCUGAUGCGCACCGGUAACAUAAGAAGUGUAGUGUGCACUUGCACAAGCAGUAUAAUAACUGUGGUGGCUGUAUGUCAAUGUUAUUUAGGUCGACAUAAUUUGGGUAGUGUAGACAUGACAUAAGUCUCCCUCUUAAGUUAUUGUCAACUUCUAUUUCCCUUUUUUAAAAAAACUUUAUUUUCAGCUCUUUUACUCUCAUUUGCCGUCCUGCAAAAGUGAAGAAAUGACAAUAAAUCCAGAGGGUUUAUAUAAACUCAGAGAAAUUAAUACUAAACCACAGGAUCAGCUUACAAUGUUUAAAAAGCAUCAUCUUUCCAUCAUAUAGUGAAGUUACCUAAUGAAGUCUGUGUAAUGUUUUGAGGAACGUGAUAUAUUCCCUUAACCCUGGAAACCACUGUUAGAUGCAUUAAGAAUAGCUAACAUA